UUCUGUGCUCUAUUUUCGUAAAUUUCCUGUUUUGUUAGUUUCUUGCCAUUGACCUCAAAUCUCUGCAUUUCCCAGGUGCCUUCUCGCUGGCGCAAAGGAGCCGCUGGGCCACUGCCUCUCCCUUGGCAGCACAGAGAGGACCAGGAUCCUGCCUGGAGGUCUGGGAGGACUGACCCUGCCCCCCAAGGAAGGUCCCUUCAGCUCCUCUGUGACAGAAACAGGUGACAAACUUCAGAAAGGACACCGGUGAUACUGGACUUCUGCCAGAGUUGGCCCAGGUGAGAGAUUCCAUGACACUGAAAGCACAGCGAUGAUCACGCAGCCAUGUCGCAGCAGUAUGCGCCGGAGCCUGAGGCUGUCAGGACGCAGCUUGGAGACGCAUGGGAUGCCAAGCAGAGGAAACUGAUGCACAGCCAACUGAAGAAUUGCCCUGUCCUAAACUCAUCUGAAGGAAAGGAAACUGAAGAAGAAAAUCUGACUUGUGGAGCUGUUCAGCACAGAAUAUUCUUGCAGAGGUCAACAAACUGAAGAAAUUCAGUGCCUAAGAAACCAAGAGAUUGGAACUUUGUUAAAGAUCUCAAGAAAAAGAUUUGCACGUAUAUUAACAGAAUGCAGACAUCCUUGUUCUUGGCCUUAAACUUUUAAUGGCAGUUAUCCUUCCAUGCAUAAGAAAGGUUGGAUGACUCCUUCAUUUUCAGAGGAAGUAGCAAAAUAAGAAAUUUUCCAGGUGAUUAUUUCACUGUACCCUAUUCGCAAAAUGAAUGCAAAAUAAUUUGUGAAGUCUACAACCUUAGAUGGUGAUCUAAGUUCAGUUCCUGGUAUGUUUGUUCUCAGCACAGAUGCUGAAAACUGAACUGAUUAAAAAAACCACAAAAACCAACCACCAGACCCCCAGUGCCCCCAAUGAACGCUGUAAAACAGAUUUAUUUACUUUUAUCUCCUAGCAGUAAGCCUAAUGAUCAAGUUUCAUUGAAAGGUAGACAUACAGUUUUAAAACUAUGAUAUACAUGGAAGUACACAGGUAGCAAAUAGUAAUUAAAACCCCCAACUAUUAAAGACCUCAUUAGAUGCCCCAAACCAAGAAACUCACAAUCACUAACAAAAACAUCAGAAAAUUCUGCUGUUUGUGGAGACAGUAUCAUCACCUGUAAGUUUUCCAGCACUUAAGUGACCAUUGGUCUCUUGUUUAAUCAGCAUUUCUGGACACAUCCUUGCAUCUACACCUUUCAACUUUUUUUUGAUAUUUGAUAUAUUUGAUACUACAUGUGCAAUCAGUAUGUAGGACUACACUCUAACACAGCUUUUAGUUGCAUAAGCUCAAUUAGUUGCAAUAACUAAUGGGAACUCUUUUCAACUGCACCCACAAGUCAGGUAAGUGUCUAACUGCUUGCAAAUCUGCCCUGAAGUGACAAGAAUAGGUUGACAACUGACAAAAACCAAGUUCUAGUAUAAACCAGAAUGUAUGAUGAUUAUGGUUUAUCUUGUAAAAUCGGACCUCUAAGAUGCACUUCUGUUCUAUUGUUACACAAAUAAACUCUGAUGGAAAGUACUUCCACAAGCGUUAGUUUCCACGACAAAUAAUGUCUGU